CCUACGGGAGGCAGCAGUGGGGAAUAUUGGACAAUGGGCGAAAGCCUGAUCCAGCCAUGCCGCGUGUGUGAAGAAGGCCUUCGGGUUGUAAAGCACUUUCAGUGGGGAAGAAAGCCUUGGGGCUAAUACCCUCGAGGAAGGACAUCACCCACAGAAGAAGCACCGGCUAACUCCGUGCCGGCAGCCGCGGUAAUACGGAGGGUGCGAGCGUUAAUCGGAAUUACUGGGCGUAAAGCGCGCGUAGGCGGUCUGAUAAGCCGGUUGUGAAAGCCCCGGGCUCAACCUGGGAACGGCAUCCGGAACUGUCAGGCUAGAGUGCAGGAGAGGAAGGUAGAAUUCCCGGUGUAGCGGUGAAAUGCGUAGAGAUCGGGAGGAAUACCAGUGGCGAAGGCGGCCUUCUGGACUGACACUGACGCUGAGGUGCGAAAGCGUGGGUAGCAAACAGGAUUAGAUACCCCAGUAGUC
rnacentral:rRNA from 1 species